CCUACGGGAUGCAGCAGUGGGGAAUAUUGCACAAUGGGCGCAAGCCUGAUGCAGCCAUGCCGAGUGUAUGAAGAAGGCAUUCGGGUUGUAAAGUACUUUCAGCGGGGAGGAAGGUGUUGAGGUCAAUAACCUCAGCAAUUGACGUUACCCGCAGAAGAAGCACCGGCUAACUCCGUGCCAGCAGCCGCGGUCAUACGGAGGGUGCAAGCGUUAAUCGGAAUUACUGGGCGUAAAGCGCACGCAGGCGGUCUGUCAAGUCGGAUGUGAAAUCCCCGGGCUAAACCUGGGAACUGCAUUCGAAACUGGCAGGCUAGAGUCUUGUAGAGGGGGGUAGAAUUCCAGGUGUAGCGGUGAAAUGCGUAGAGAUCUGGAGGAAUACCGGUGGCGAAGGCGGCCCCCUGGACAAAGACUGACGCUCAGGUGCGAAAGCGUGGGGAGGAAACAGGAUUAGAUACCCUUGUAGUC
rnacentral:rRNA from 1 species